CAGUAACGGCGAGUGAAGCGGCAACAGCUCAAAUUUGAAAUCUGGCCUCACGGCCCGAGUUGUAAUUUGUAGAGGAUGCUUUUGGCGAGGCGCCGCCCGAGUUCCCUGGAACGGGACGCCACAGAGGGUGAGAGCCCCGUCUGGCUGGCCGCCGAGCCUCUGUAAAGCUCCUUCGACGAGUCGAGUAGUUUGGGAAUGCUGCUCAAAAUGGGAGGUAUAUGUCUUCUAAAGCUAAAUAUUGGCCAGAGACCGAUAGCGCACAAGUAGAGUGAUCGAAAGAUGAAAAGCACUUUGAAAAGAGGGUUAAACAGUACGUGAAAUUGUUGAAAGGGAAGCGCUCGUGACCAGACUUGGGCUUGGCGAAUCAUCCAGGGUUCUCCCUGGUGCACUUCGCYUCGUCCAGGCCAGCAUCAGCUCGCCGCGGGGGACAAAGGCGCUGGGAACGUGGCUCCUUCGGGAGUGUUAUAGCCCGGCGCGCAAUACCCUGGGGUGGGCUGAGGUUCGCGCAUCUGCAAGGAUGCUGGCGUAAUGGUCAUCGGCGACCCGUCUUGAAACACGGACCAAGGAGUCGUCCUCGUAUGCGAGUGUUCGGGUGUCAAACCCCUACGCGUAAUGAAAGUGAACGCAGGUGAGAGCUUCGGCGCAUCAUCGACCGAUCCUGAUGUUCUCGGAUGGAUUUGAGUAAGAGCAUACGGGGCCGGACCCGAAAGAAGGUGAACUAUGCCUGUAUAGGGUGAAGCCAGAGGAAACUCUGGUGGAGGCUCGCAGCGGUUCUGACGUGCAAAUCGAUCGUCAAAUAUGGGCAUGGGGGCGAAAGACUAAUCGAACCUUCUAGUAGCUGGUUUCCGCCGAAGUUUCCCUCAGGAUAGCAGUGUUGAACUCAGUUUUAUGAGGUAAAGCGAAUGAUUAGGGACUCGGGGGCGCUAUUUAGCCUUCAUCCAUUCUCAAACUUUAAAUAUGUAAGAAGCCCUUGUUGCUUAAUUGAACGUGGGCAUUCGAAUGUAUCACCACUAGUGGGCAAUUUUUGGUAAGCAGAACUGGCGAUGCGGGAUGAACCG
rnacentral:rRNA from 1 species